ensembl:lncRNA
GACCCUAUCAGCUACAGACAACUAUACCAGACUACACCUAACCCUAUCAGCUACAGACAGCUAUACCAGACUACACCUAACCCUGUCAGCUACAGACAACUCCACCAGGCGAAUGACCUGCAAUAGGCCAUCUACUUCAACAAACGCAUAACUGGUUUAAUUUCCCAUGCAGUGAAGUUAGGGUUAGGGAUAGACUGAAUUGAAGUGAACUAAAUUUAACAAUAAUACAUCCAGCCCUGGUAGCUAUAGGUCUCUGUGUUACCUCAUAUAGAAAAGACUACAACCAGACUAGUUAUAGGGUUUGUUUGUAAAUUCACUCUGGAGUGCAAGAGUGCAGAAUUAGUAAAUUCAGAGCGUUUCACUCUUGGACUAAUCAGAGCUCACACUGGACACUGGCGGUUAAUCAGAGCUCACACUGGACACUGGCGGUUAAUCAGCUCAGCGUUCUGACCUAACAACGGCUGUCAAGCACCCAAGAUAACUGGCUAAAGUUGACUAGCUUGCUAGCUACUUCCAGACACAAAUGAAACAACACCUCACUCUGACCAUUUACCAUAGCAGAGCUGGAUAGGAUGUUUUCAUGUUAUCCAGAGCAUUGGUGACUGUAAUUGUGCUGCUGACAACAAUAUAUUUAUAUUUCUUUGCCAACGUUUACUGACACUGAUCAUAUUCAAUGGGUGCUCGUAAAUUAAUCAGUUAUUUUGGACUCUGGUACACUCAGACGAUGAGUGCUCUGGAAUAGGAUUAGAUAGUCAGAGUGAAUUUACUAACGCACCAAUAGACAUCACAACAUUACAGCUCUGUUACAGCUCUGCUACCUUUUACAUCUUUAACUGUCAAUGUGAACAAGACACAAUCUGGAGAAUGUAUCUGGUGGACUGAUGUCAUCAGAAUGUGUAUGGUGGGUUGUGAUGUCAUCAGAAUGUGUAUGGUGGGUUGUGAUGUCAUCAGAAUGUGUAUGGUGGGUUGUGAUGUCAUCAGAAUGUGUAUGGUGGGUUGUGAUGUCAUCAGAAUGUGUAUGGUGGGUUGUGAUGACAUCAGAAUGUAUUCGGUGGACUGUGAUGACAUCAGAAUAUUGUGAUGUUUUAAUUGUUUGAAAUUCCCUUAUAAUCAAAAUGGUUUCUAGGAGAUGAUGGAUUCCUUAGCAACUGUUGCAAUAAAUUAUAUCUUGAUUCUACAUAGUG